rnacentral:rRNA from 1 species
GAUAAACGCUGGCGGCGUGCCUAACACAUGCAAGUCGAACGCCCUUCCUUUUGCAAAAGAGGGAGGGAGUGGCGGACGGGUGAGUAACACGUGGGUACCUACCGUGGGGUGAGGAAUACCGGCGAGAAAUCGCCGACAAGACCGCAUAGGCUUGGGGGACCAAGCAAAGUUGCGUUUUGCGCGACGCCCCAUGAUGGGCCUGCGCCCGAUUAGCUAGUUGGGGAGGUAAAAGCUUCCCAAGGCGACGAUCGGUAGCUGGUCUGAGAGGAUGAUCAGC